GUUUCUCAGUUACACAGCUUCAGUACUGCAACCCUCGUUCUCUCCCGCUCCCUCGUUCUCCCAUUUCACUCACCGCCUCUCUCUCGAGCACUCUAACCCUCGUUCUCUGCCGCUCCUUUAUAGCCUCUCACUCUCUCCCUCACUAAGCUCACUCUUGCACUCACUCUAUGUCCAUCUCGUUCACUCUCACACAGUUCACCAUUUUCUUCUUCUUCACACUCCGCUAACCCUGGUCACCAUUCUCUCGCACUGACUUGAAAGAAGAAGAAGUUCGUUUUUCUCGCUCUGACUAAGUCUUUCGUUCUUCUGAUUUAGGGUUUAUUAUUCAUUCAUCUACAAGUUGCUACCCUCUUCAAGGACCACUGAGAUUUGCUUGAGGAGUUCACUAGAUUCUUACCGUAUACCUCUGCUACACCUUCGACACAGUAUGCUCCAUAUAGUCAAAAUUCGUCACAGCACUAUAAUAAGUAGAGUUCCACGACUCCAAUGAUGCGCCAAAUUCCACCAGACACAACUUUAUUUAUAGAGAAGGCUGAAGGUUUUGGAAUGGCUUCCCACUUUCCUUCUUAUGAAGACAAAGAUACCUUAAAGAGCUGACUUAAAUGUGAGGCAAAAGAUAUUGACUGCCACACUGGAAUUUUUGCUGCCAGUGAAAGGUAUUAGUCUUUUACCCCCACAAAGUGAAAGGUAUUAGUCUUUUACCACAUGGAUGAUUGUUGUUUAUUUUUUGUUGGUAGAUAUUUCCACUUUUAAUGUCUAACCAUUUAAUGUUUGACUGAGUUUUGAAAAGAAGAGGGGGGAUUGUUAAGAGAGGGGAUUCUGUGAUAGCAGCAACAAGGGCGUUUUAUUAUGUUACCCCUGACAAUCACAGUAAUGCCUCAUAGUGAAACAAGAGUCUUGAUGUUCCUGGUGUUAGAAGUGUUGUCCACUAUCAGUUUCCACAUUCGGCAAAGCUGCAGUUGAAGCACUACGAAGAUGGUGGAGAAAGUAAAAGAGUUUAACAUGGAGAGAGUUAUAGAGGAAUUUGAGAGGGUGACAAAGGAUGUUAAGAGGUUCAAGACUACUAACAUUAUGGUUUUUUUAAGCUUUUUAGACACAUUAAAUUUCGAAUAUCUCGUAUUGUAUAAGGAUGCUUUUGGAUUUACUAUGUAAUAUAAGGAAUGACUGAAUCUCGUUCGGGUUGCAAAAGGAAUAGAGAAUUAGGAUAAUUUUUUUU